GUCUAAAUAGUUUAAAUUUAAAAUACUGAUUUGUGGUGUCGGUGAUGUGAUUGGUUAGUUGCUUUGGACU
rnacentral:tRNA from 1 species